UGUUAAGAAUGUCAUCCAUUUCUAUUACUAAAAUUGAUAUGGUAGACAAAAUAAUCAAACAGUAACACAUGAUUUGCCACAUAUGCCUCAUGUUGACGUACAAAGACAAGUUUUUAACAAUAGAAAUUGAUGUAAUUUUUAAUA
rfam:Gossypium hirsutum cultivar TM-1 unplaced genomic scaffold scaffold506.1, whole genome shotgun sequence